rnacentral:rRNA from 1 species
AUUGAACGCUGGCGGCAGGCCUAACACAUGCAAGUCGAGCGAGCGGCGGACGGGUGAGUAAUGUAUGGGGACCUGCCCGAUAGCUGGGGAUAACUAUUGGAAACGGUGCAUAUUACCGCAUACUAUCGGAUUAACCCAUCUGGGAUUAGCCAGUAGGUGGGGUAAAGGCUCACCUAGGCGACGAUCUCUAGCUGGUUGGAGAGGAUGAUCGGCCAGACUGGGACUGAGACACGGCCCAGACUCCUACGGGAGGCAGGAGUGGGGAAUAUUGCGCAAUGGGCGCAAGCCUGAUGGAGCCAUGCCGCGUGUAUGAAGAAGGCCUUAGGGUUGUAAAGUACUUUCAGCGGGGAGGCGUUACCCGCAGAAGAAGCACCGGCUAACUCCGUGCCAGCAGCCGCGGUAAUUC